CUACGGAGGGUGCAAGCGUUGUUCGGAAUUACUGGGCGUAAAGCGCGCGUAGGCGGUCUGUUAUGUCAGAUGUGAAAGUCCUCGGCUCAACCGGGGAAGUGCAUUUGAAACUGGCAGACUUGAGUACUGGAGGGGGUGGUGGAAUUCCCGGUGUAGAGGUGAAAUUCGUAGAUAUCGGGAGGAAUACCGGUGGCGAAGGCGACCACCUGGCCAGAUACUGACGCUGAGGUGCGAAAGCGUGGGGAGCAAACAGGAUUAGAUACCCUAGUAGUCC
rnacentral:rRNA from 1 species